rnacentral:lncRNA from 1 species
AAUUGAAUGGGGGCACAAGGUAGCAUGGAGGAGAGAAGCCCAAAUGUCCAGGAGUCAAUGAAAUGUAGAAGUGAAAUCAAGGUCAAAAGAGAUGGACUCUCGCUAUGUUGCCCAGGCUGGGCUCAGACUUUUGGCCUCAAGCUAUCCUCUCGCCUCAGACUGCCAAAGUGCCAGGAUUACACGUGUAAGCCACUGUGCGCAGCCUAGAUUUUGGAAAUGAGCAUAAAAGAUCGUGAGCCUGCACUCUGCUUCAACUUAAAGCAGUUUAAAAAU